rnacentral:rRNA from 1 species
GAUGAACGCUGGCGGCGUGCCUAAUACAUGCAAGUCGAGCGAACAGACGAGGAGCUUGCUCCUCUGACGUUAGCGGCGGACGGGUGAGUAACACGUGGAUAACCUACCUAUAAGACUGGGAUAACUUCGGGAAACCGGAGCUAAUACCGGAUAACAUGUUGAACCGCAUGGUUCAACAGUGAAAGACGGUCUUGCUGUCACUUAUAGAUGGAUCCGCGCCGCAUUAGCUAGUUGGUAAGGUAACGGCUUACCAAGGCAACGAUGCGUAGCCGACCUGAGAGGGUGAUCGGCCACACUGGAACUGAGACACGGUCCAGAAUCCUACGGGAGGCAGCAGUAGGGAAUCUUCCGCAAUGGGCGAAAGCCUGACGGAGCAACGCGGCGUGAGUGAAGAAGGUCUUCGGAUCGUAAAACUCUGUUAUUAGGGAAGAACAAAGGUGUAAGUAACUAUGCACGUCUUGACGGUACCUAAUCAGAAAGCCACGGCUAACUACGU